rnacentral:rRNA from 1 species
UACGAAGGGGGCUAGCGUUGUUCGGAAUUACUGGGCGUAAAGCGCACGUAGGCGGACAUUUAAGUUGGAGGUGAAAUCCUUGGGCUCAACCCAAGAAUUGCCUUUGAUACUGGAUGUCUCGAGACCGGGAGAGGUGAGUGGAAUUCCGAGUGUAGAGGUGAAAUUCGUAGAUAUUCGGAAGAACACCAGUGGCGAAGGCGGCUCACUGGCCCGGUUCUGACGCUGAGGUGCGAAAGCGUGGGGAGCAAACAGG